rnacentral:misc_RNA from 1 species
GAUGAAGAACGUAGCGAAAUGCGAUACUUAGUGUGAAUUGCAGAAUCCCGUGAACCAUCGAGUCUUUGAACGCAAGUUGCGCCCGAAGCCAUUAGGCCGAGGGCACGCCUGCCUAGGCGUCACACGUCGUUGCCCCCCCAUCUACUCCUUCGGGAUUGCGGGGGGCGGUUGAUGGCCUCCCGUGCGCCUUGUCGCGCGGUUGGCAUAAAUGCCAAGUCCUCGGCGACGCACGCCACGACAAUCGGUGGUUGCGAAACCUCGGUUGCCCGUCGUGUGCGGUCGUCGCGCAUCGAGGGCUCGAAAAAAUUGUCGGGCUCCGGCUCGGCUUUCAACGCGACCCCAGGUCAGGCGGGGUUACCCGCUGAAUUUAAGCAUAUCAAUAAGCGGAGGA